rnacentral:rRNA from 1 species
CCUACGGGAGGCAGCAGUAGGGAAUAUUGCUCAAUGGGGGAAACCCUGAAGCAGCAACGCCGCGUGGAGGAUGAAGGUUUUCGGAUUUUAAACUCCUUUUGUUAGAGAAGAUAAUGACGUUAUCUAACGAAUAAGCACCGGCUAACUCCGUGCCAGCAGCCGCGGUAAUACGGAGGGUGCAAGCGUUACUCGGAAUCACUGGGCGUAAAGAGCGCGUAGGCGGGAUAGCAAGUCAGAUGUGAAAUCCUAUGGCUUAACCAUAGAACUGCAUUUGAAACUGUUAUUCUAGAGUAUGGGAGAGGUAGGUGGAAUUCUUGGUGUAGGAGUAAAAUCCGUAGAGAUCAAGAGGAAUACUCAUUGCGAAGGCGACCUGCUAGAACAUAACUGACGCUGAUGCGCGAAGGCGUGGGGAGCAAACAGGAUUAGAUACCCCGGUAGUC